GCCGGGCCACCCCUACCCCUGCCUGGUGCCGCCCCCGCUGCGCUGACUGGGAGUCUUCGUGGUCGGAUUCCCCACCCUUCCUUACCUCGUAAACCGACAGACCUGGGUUUCGCCGCUGCUCCUGUUCCUCGAGCAGCCUUCAAGCAGUGGAAAUUACGGAGAAAUGAACAUUCUGAAAGCGCCUAGUAAAUGCUCAGGAAGAGAUCAGCACCAUGUGAGAUGCAGUAUUCUAACGCUCUGAAAUGUUACUUGUUGUUUAAUAAGUGAUCAUCAUUUAUUAAAUAUUCUUGAUCCUGGCCGGGCGCGGUGGCUCACGCCUGUAAUCCCAGCACCUUGGGAGGCCGAGACGGGCGGAUCACCUGAGGUCAGGAGUUCAAGACCAGCCUGGCCAACAUGGUGAAACCCCGUCUCGACUAAAAAUACAAAAUUAGCCAGGCGUGGUGGCGCAUGCCUGUAAUCCUAGCUACUCAGGAGGCUGAGGCAGGAGAAUCGCUUGAUUCAGUGAGCCGAGAUCGCGCCAUUGCACUCCAGCCGGGCGACAAGAGCUAAAUUGCGACAAGAGCUAAAUUCCGUCUCAAAAAACAAACAAACAAACAAAAAACUUGAUCUUUCAAACCGGGUUACAGCAGUUACCUCAUGCAAAAAAGCAGCCUUACUUAAAGGAUAAAUAACAUGCUUAAAACAUCAGACGGUACUGUGAAUCGGAGACUUGCGUUCUGGAAAAUGCCAUUAUUUACCCCUCUCUGGAAAAAGAUACCCGGCUGGGUGAUUAAUACACAAGGACACAAGGUCCAUUUCAUCACCCUUCUGGUGGAAAGCACAGAAGAAAGAUGUAAUGGCCAACUCCAAUAAAGCAUCUCUGUAAUUUCA